AAGCGGAGGAAAAGAAACCAACAGGGAUUGCUCUAGUAACGGCGAGUGAAGCAGCAAUAGCUCAAAUUUGAAAUCUGGCGUCUUCGGCGUCCGAGUUGUAAUUUGUAGAGGAUGCUUCUGAGUAGCCACCGACCUAAGUUCCUUGGAGCAGGACGUCAUAGAGGGUGAGAAUCCCGUAUGCGGUCGGAGGCGCUCUACACGUAGCUCCUUCGACGAGUCGAGUUGUUUGGGAAUGCAGCUCUAAAUGGGAGGUAAAUUUCUUCUAAAGCUAAAUAUUGGCCAGAGACCGAUAGCGCACAAGUAGAGUGAUCGAAAGAUGAAAAGCACUUUGGAAAGAGAGUUAAAAAGCACGUGAAAUUGUUGAAAGGGAAGGGAUUGCAACCAGACUUGCUCGCGGUGUUCCGCCGGUCUUCUGACCGUCUACUCGCCGCGUUGCAGGCCAGCAUCGUCUGGUGCCGCUGGAUAAGACUUGAGGAAUGUAGCUCCCUCGGGAGUGUUAUAGCCUCUUGUGAUGCAGCGAGCGCCGGGCGAGGUCCGCGCUUCGGCUAGGAUGCUGGCGUAAUGGUCGUAAUCCGCCCGUCUUGAAACACGGACCAAGGAGUCUAACAUCUAUGCGAGUGUUCGGGUGUCAACCCCUACGCGUAAUGAAAGUGAACGG
rnacentral:rRNA from 1 species